rnacentral:rRNA from 1 species
AACGUGACCCCCAAGCGUUACCCGGAAUAACUGGGCGUAAAGCGUUCGUAGGCGGUAAAGUUAGUCUAAGGUCAAAGCCCUCGGGCUCAACCUGAGGAAGGCCUUAGAUACUGCUUUACUUGAGGGCGUUAGAGGCUGAUGGAACACACGGUGUAGGGGUGGAAUCCGUUGAUAUCGUGUGGAACACCGAAAGCGAAGGCAUUCAGCUGGAGCGACCCUGACGCUGAGGAACGAAAGCCAGGGGAGAGAAUGGGAUUAGAUACCCCAGUA